UACGUAGGGACCGAGCGUUGUCCGGAAUCAUUGGGCGUAAAGAGCGUGUAGGCGGCCAUUUAAGUCCUGCGUGAAAUCCUGCGGCUCAACCGCAGACGGUCGUGGGAAACUGGAUGGCUAGAGUGCGGGAGAGGAGAGUGGAAUUCCCGGUGUAGCGGUGAAAUGCGCAGAUAUCGGGAAGAACACCGGUGGCGAAGGCGGCGACCUGGGUAGAUACUGACGCUGAGGUGCGAAAGCGUGGGGAGCAAACAGG
rnacentral:rRNA from 1 species